rnacentral:rRNA from 1 species
CCUACGGGGUGCAGCAGUGGGGGAUAUUGCACAAUGGGGGAAACCCUGAUGCAGCGAUGCCGCGUGAAUGAAGACGGCCUUCGGGUUGUAAAGUUCUGUCGCAGGGGACGAAAAUGACGGUACCCUGCAAGAAAGCUCCGGCUAACUACGUGCCAGCAGCCGCGGUAAUACGUAGGGAGCAAGCGUUGUCCGGAAUUACUGGGUGUAAAGGGAGCGUAGGCGGGAGGAUAAGUUGAAUGUGAAAUCUAUGGGCUCAACAAAUAGUUGUGUUCAAAAAUGUUUUUCUUGAGUGAAGUAGAGGCAGGCGGAAUGCCUAGUUGAGGGGUGAAAUGUGUAGAUAUUAGGAGGAACCCAAGGGGCGAAGGCGGCCUGGUGGGUUUUAACUGACGCGGAGGCUCGAAAGCGGGGGGAGAAAACAGGAUUAGAGACCCGAGUAGUC